rnacentral:rRNA from 1 species
CGGGUGGCAGCAGUGGGGAAUCUUGCGCAAUGGGCGAAAGCCUGACGCAGCAACGCCGCGUGCGGGAUGAAGGCCUUCGGGUUGUAAACCGCUUUCAGGAGGGACGAAAUUGACGGUACCUUCAGAAGAAGCCCCGGCCAACUACGUGCCAGCAGCCGCGGUAACACGUAGGGGGCGAGCGUUGUCCGGAUUUAUUGGGCGUAAAGAGCUCGUAGGUGGCUUAGUAAGUCGGGUGUGAAACCUCCAGGCUUAACCUGGAGACGCCAUCUGAUACUGCUAUAGCUUGAGUCCGGUAGGGGAGCGUGGAAUUCCUGGUGUAGCGGUGAAAUGCGCAGAUAUCAGGAGGAACACCAGCGGCGAAGGCGGCGCUCUGGGCCGGUACUGACACUGAGGAGCGAAAGCGUGGGGAGCAAACAGGAUUAGAUACCCCGGU